rnacentral:rRNA from 1 species
GACGAACGCUGGCGGCGUGCUUAACACAUGCAAGUCGAGCGGUAAGGCCCUUUCGGGGGUACACGAGCGGCGAACGGGUGAGUAACACGUGGGUGACCUGCCCUCAGCUCUGGGAUAAGCCUGGGAAACUGGGUCUAAUACCGGAUAUGACUCCAUGACGCAUGUUGUGGGGUGGAAAGCCUUGUGCGGCUGAGGAUGGGCCCGCGGCCUAUCAGCUUGUUGGUGGGGUGANGGCCUACCAAGGCGACGACGGGUAGCCGGCCUGAGAGGGCGACCGGCCACACUGGGACUGAGACACGGCCCAGACUCCUACGGGAGGCAGCAGUGGGGAAUCUUGCGCAAUGGGCGAAAGCCUGACGCAGCGACGCCGCGUGAGGGAUGACGGCCUGGUGUAACUACUUCUA